UGCACCACCACCUCUUGACAAAUGCAGAGGAGAUGGCCCUGAGCCUGAAUGCUGGAAGGCCAAUGGCUGAGGGAAUUCCUGGAGGGACUUCAUCAGAGCCAGUCACUCCAGAAGAUUUAAGUGCCUUCAUAAAAUAUUCUGAUGGUAAAAUUAGUCUUUUGGAGCCUCCUGUCCCAACAGAACCACAGGCAGUUGAUGAUGGGGAUGAAGAAACAGUUUCUGCUGCCACAGAGAUGCCUACAGAGGUAAUGUUAAUAUUAUGUGUCUAUCAAACAAUCUACA